GAGAGCACCGCGCCGGCGAGGAGAGACCACCGCGAGCAGCCCCGCGCUCCCACACACACGCUCACGCCCGGCUCCCCCACCCCCGCCACCGGCACCGUCUGCUCCUCCUCCUCUCCGCAACAGGAAAAAAAAAGCCAUUUACAGGGGGUGAUGUGCAACUAAUUAAAGGCAGACUGGCAGCGUCUGCAAAUUCUAAGGCUCCCCAAAUAAAAAGAGACUGUUGUGGCAGUUGGAGGAUAAUGCAAAGGACGACGCCGCCGGGGACCUCGCCGA